CCUACGGGAGGCAGCAGUGAGGAAUAUUGGGCAAUGGGAGAGAUCCUGAACCAGCCAAGCCGCGUGAGGGAAGAAGGCCCUAUGGGUUUUAAACCUCUUGUGUCGGAGAACAAAACCCGGGACGUGUCCCGGACUGCGUGUAUCCGAAGAAAAAGCAUCGGCUAACUCCGCGCCAGCAGCCGCGGUAAUACGGAGGGUGCGAGCGUUAUCCGGAUGUAGUUGGUUGAAAGGGUGCGUAGGCGGUCCGUUAAGUCAGCGGUAAAAUUGCGGGGCUCAACCCCGUCGAGCUGUUGAAACUGGCAGACUUGAGUUGGCGAGAAGUAGGCGGAAUGCGCGGUGUAGAGGUGAAAUGCAUAGAUAUCGCGCAGAACUCCGAUUGCGAAGGCAGCGUACCGGAGCCAGACUGACGCUGAGGCACGAAAGCGUGGGGAUCGAACAGGAUUAGAUACCCGGGUAGUC
rnacentral:rRNA from 1 species